CCCUAUGGGGGCAUCGGUUUCUGCUUUGGCUGCCCAUGCCCGCUUUGCUUCCCAUCGUCUUUGUCGCCUUCGCAAGCCUUGGCUUUCUCCUCGGACACGUCGUCCCUCUCUCCAUUGACAGUUACACCCACAAACAGUCCAACUUGUUGGCCUGGUCCUGGGCGAUUACGGUCACGGGCUCUGUAUUCGGGACGGUCAUCGCCUCCAUUCUUGCCCGAGACUAUGGCAUGUUCCUGGUUGCAGUCCUUGGAAUCCUUUCUUAUUUUCUUGUUGCAGCUGUGAGCCUGGCGGGUAUGGCAAUUGCGCGGGUGAUAUCCGGAGCGUCGGGGAUGAAUUCGGAGUAACUGUGCCCACAGGGGUUGUCAGAAGGGAGAAUUGGCGGGAGGGC
rnacentral:rRNA from 1 species